AACGAACGCUGGCGGCAUGCCUAACACAUGCAAGUCGAACGAGACCUUCGGGUCUAGUGGCGCACGGGUGCGUAACGCGUGGGAACCUGCCCUUAGGUUCGGAAUAACUCCCCGAAAGGGGUGCUAAUACCGGAUAAUGUCUUCGGACCAAAGAUUUAUCGCCUUUGGAUGGGCCCGCGUUGGAUUAGCUAGUUGGUAGGGUAAAAGCCUACCAAGGCGACGAUCCAUAGCUGGUCUGAGAGGAUGAUCAGCCACACUGGGACUGAGACACGGCCCAGAAUCCUACGGGAGGCAGCAGUGGGGGAUAUUGGACAAUGGGCGAAAGCCUGAUCCAGCAAUGCCGCGUGAGUGAUGAAGGCCUUAGGGUUGUAAAGCUCUUUUACCCGGGAUGAUAAUGACAGUACCGGGAGAAUAAGCUCCGGCUAACUCCGUG
rnacentral:rRNA from 1 species